UGAAACUUGUAGUAACAACGAAUGGCGGGAAGUCAGCAGAAGCCAUAGUAAACCAAUGGUUGCAAACGUUGGCGAAGGGC
rfam:Blautia sp. YL58, complete genome.